CUCCAGAAUGUUCUUUUAAUCCUGGCACAUUUUUAAGAUAGGAUCUUUCUUCACCAACUUUCCCCACCUCAGCGGCCCAGGUACCCCAGUUCCCAUAAGUUGGCCAACCAAGCACAAUGCUCUGCUCCCUCUGAGCUCUCCACCCAGACCACCAACCUCCAACAUGGAGACACAUCUGUUUAUAACUUUGACCAGUCGGAGGGCUUGGAAGGAGGGUGGAGAGCCCUGAGAGAGGGAGGCUGCAACAUUCUUUUCAUGUCUGUGGUUUUCUGAGAUGGUGAGGCACAGGCUAAUAUGAAAGGGGAGCAAAAAAAUUAAAUGGUAUCUUCUCAAAUUUCUCCUUCCCGGACUCUUUUUCAACAAAGUCUUCUAACUUGAGAGUGCCAU